rnacentral:rRNA from 1 species
AUCCUCCAAGGCUAAAUACUCCUGAUUGACCGAUAGUGAACCAGUACUGUGAAGGAAAGGCGAAAAGAACCCCGGUGAGGGGAGUGAAAUAGAACCUGAAACCUUGUACGUACAAGCAGUGGGGGCCCCAUCACUUAAUCCGAUUGGAAGGUGAUGAAAAGCAACCGCACUUAAACAAUGGUAAGAGGAGCGAAGCGAGUCAAACCACCCAAAAGAAGCAGUGGGAUUAAGUGAUGGGGUGACUGCGUACC